CGAUGGAGGGGGAUAACUACUGGAAACGGUAGCUAAUACCGCAUAACGUCGCAAGACCAAAGAGGGGGACCUUCGGGCCUCUUGCCAUCGGAUGUGCCCAGAUGGGAUUAGCUAGUAGGUGGGUAACGGCUCACCUAGGCGACGAUCCCUAGCUGGUCUGAGAGGAUGACCAGCCACACUGGAACUGAGACACGGUCCAG
rnacentral:rRNA from 1 species